rnacentral:rRNA from 1 species
UGGAUCCAGACUUUGAUUAUGGCUCAGGAUGAACGCUAGCUACAGGCUUAACACAUGCAAGUCGAGGGGAAACGACAUCGAAAGCUUGCUUUUGAUGGGCGUCGACCGGCGCACGGGUGAGUAACGCGUAUCCAACCUGCCCACCACUUGGGGAUAACCUUGCGAAAGUAAGACUAAUACCCAAUGAUAUCUCUAGAAGACAUCUGAAAGAGAUUAAAGAUUUAUCGGUGAUGGAUGGGGAUGCGUCUGAUUAGCUUGUUGGCGGGGUAACGGCCCACCAAGGCAACGAUCAGUAGGGGUUCUGAGAGGAAGGUCCCCCACAUUGGAACUGAGACACGGUCCAAACUCCUACGGGAGGCAGCAGUGAGGAAUAUUGGUCAAUGGACGAGAGUCUGAACCAGCCAAGUAGCGUGCAGGAAGACGGCCCUAUGGGUUGUAAACUGCUUUUAUAGGGGAAUAAAGUGAGAGUCGUGACUCUUUUUGCAUGUACCUUAUGAAUAAGGACCGGCUAAUUCCGUGCCAGCAGCCGCGGUAAUACGGAAGGUCCGGGCGUUAUCCGGAUUUAUUGGGUUUAAAGGGAGCGUAGGCCGGAGAUUAAGCGUGUUGUGAAAUGUAGACGCUCAACGUCUGCACUGCAGCGCGAACUGGUUUCCUUGAGUACGCACAAAGUGGGCGGAAUUCGUGGUGUAGCGGUGAAAUGCUUAGAUAUCACGAAGAACUCCGAUUGCGAAGGCAGCUCGCUGGAGCGCAACUGACGCUGAAGCUCGAAAGUGCGGGUAUCGAACAGGAUUAGAUACCCUGGUAGUCCGCACGGUAAACGAUGGAUGCCCGCUGUUGGUCUGAAUAGGUCAGCGGCCAAGCGAAAGCAUUAAGCAUCCCACCUGGGGAGUACGCCGGCAACGGUGCAACUCAAAGGAAUUGACGGA